CUGAAAUAUUUUUUAAGUGUCCUUUUGAUGCCAGCAUACAUUAUUUCCAAUUCUGUCAACCUCUUAAGCUAGAAUCACACUGAUGAGGACCCUAACCCAAAGGGCCCAAAGCCGCCCACAGUUAGCGCCCAAGUGUUUUUCCUGGCACAUGAACCUCCUCUCAUUCAUCAGGAACUGCUGGCUGAAAACAAAAUGAGUUAAGAAUGAAAUCUUGGAGGCUGAUGAGAGAUGGAGUCCGGGAUAAACUUUGAGGUCUGCAUUUGGUCAAUC
rnacentral:lncRNA from 1 species